rnacentral:rRNA from 1 species
AUUGAACGCUGGCGGCAUGCCUUACACAUGCAAGUCGAACGGCAGCGGACCUUCGGGUGCCGGCGAGUGGCGAACGGGUGAGUAAUAUAUCGGAACGUACCUUUCAGUGGGGGAUAACGUAGCGAAAGUUACGUUAAUACCGCAUAUUCUGUGAGCAGGAAAGCAGGGGAUCGCAAGACCUUGCGCUGAUUGAGCGGCCGAUAUCAGAUUAGCUAGUUGGUGAGGUAAAGGCUCACCAAGGCGACGAUCUGUAGCGGGUCUGAGAGGAUGAUCCGCCACACUGGAACUGAGACACGGUCCAGACUCCUACGGGAGGCAGCAGUGGGGAAUUUUGGACAAUGGGCGCAAGCCUGAUCCAGCCAUGCCGCGUGAGUGAAGAAGGCCUCGGUUGUAAG